rnacentral:hammerhead_ribozyme from 1 species
GUACUUUUGAGGAGUCCAAAACUAGGACGAAACAUCUGUCUAGUAC